UACAGAGACUGCAAGCGUUAUUCGGAUUCACUGGGCGUAAAGGGUGCGCAGGCGGCCAAGUGUGUCAGGUGUGAAAUCCCGAGCUUAACCUCGGAACUGCGCCUGAAACUACUUGGCUAGAGUACUGGAGAGGGUAACGGAAUUCACGGUGUAGCAGUGAAAUGCGUGGAUAUCGUGAGGAACACCAGAGGCGAAGGCGGUUACCUGGACAGUUACUGACGCUCAGGCACGAAAGCGUGGGGAGCAAAAGGG
rnacentral:rRNA from 1 species